AGAUAAGGACAGUUUAAUGCAUGUGGCAUGUGUGCAUGUUCAGGGUUUCCUGUAGUAGUGAGAUAUGAAACUAGCUCUGCUCUAGUUCAGCUGAGCAGAUAAGACUGGACUUUUCAGCCUACUGUAAGCGGCAAUAACAUUCAGUGGGCCUACAGAUAUUUUUAAAUCUUAGAAGUUGUACAUAACAAGACUAAUAUUAAAUACAAAUAUAUGAACAAUUAUUUUAACACAAGAAGGGAAAUAAAAUGGAGCUCUGUUUUGCUUAAAUCAAACUACUGAGAACUAUGUGCUAUGAAACAAUGUUUUGACCUCACGAUAGGAGACAAAGUCUUGAAAACUAAUAGAUUAUUUAUUCAUUGAAGAAUUUAACUCACACUUUGAAAAAUAAUCCCUUACCUAAAUAUAUAUGGUAUUUUUAACUUAACUAAUAUAUGGUAUUUUUAACUUGAGUUUCGAGACGCCUUUUCAUUGCUCAUUUCAUGAUUGUUACCUAAUGUCUUAAUCAGUAACUCAACUUCAAAGCAGAACAUUUUACAUCUAAAACAAAGUACAGUAACAGCUUUGUUCUAGAAAUUUCUUUUGGUAACUCUUGUUCAUUCUAGAGUUGCCUGUGAACUUGGUUAUUUGUGUAAUGGUAACUAGACAAAAUACUGAAACAUGUUUGCCUACAAUACAAAUACUCUUAAUCUGAAAACACAUAACAACAAAAAUAUUUAAAUUAGAUUCAUUGAUGCAGAGUGAGUUAUAAAAGUGUAGCUAAAAAUAAACUCUGUUUUGUCUUGCAGGGAUAGGAGGAGAAGAAGAGAGGUGUGUGUGUUCAGUCAAAAAGUAGUCUCCUUAUAUCUAAAUAUUUAUGGAAGAAAAUAAGCAAAAUGUUGACAAACCAUAACAGCAGUAAUUUUUCUCCAGAAGAUUUGACUGUUAGAGGAUUGUAUGAAUAGUAAAAGCUGCUUUUCAAUGUAUACAAUGACAGAUUUUCAUCACCCAGUCUCAGAAAGGGAUUCAGUGACUGCUAACUGAGCAGAUGGAGCAGUACCAACACAUGUGAGAAGAAAACAUUCAUCAU
rnacentral:lncRNA from 1 species